UACGUAGGGUGCGAGCGUUAAUCGGAAUUACUGGGCGUAAAGCGUGCGCAGGCGGUCUCGUAAGCUGGGUGUGAAAGCCCCGGGCUUAACCUGGGAAUGGCAUUCAGGACUGCGAGGCUCGAGUGUGGCAGAGGGAGGUGGAAUUCCACGUGUAGCAGUGGAAUGCGUAGAGAUGUGGAGGAACACCGAUGGCGAAGGCAGCCUUCUGGGACAGCACUGACGCUCAUGCGCGAUAGCGUGGGGAGCAAACAGG
rnacentral:rRNA from 1 species